UCCCCAGUGGUUUAGUGGUUAGGACUUGGCACUUUCACCACCAAGGCCCAGGUUCGAUCCCUGGUCUGGGAA
rnacentral:tRNA from 1 species